AUGAGAAGCCUUCAGUGGAUUGCGGAGACUGUUGCCAUGGCGAUUGCGCUGAAGGUUUAUGAUGUUUGGAAAUUGAUGGUGUAUAUGGAUUCAAAUAAGCACGAGUUUGGAGGAUGUUGUUUUCUGUUGGAGAGGAAGUUAGCAAUUAAGUUGGAGAGUUAUAUGGUUCUAUUAGAGGGUCCACACAGACAGCAAGCUGCAAUUUUUUCUGGUUUUGUUUCAACUGGUUUUGUUUCAACUCCAUGA